UACGUAGGGUGCGAGCGUUGUCCGGAAUUAUUGGGCGUAAAGAGCUCGUAGGCGGUUUGUCGCGUCUGCCGUGAAAGUCCGGGGCUCAACUCCGGAUCUGCGGUGGGUACGGGCAGACUAGAGUGAUGUAGGGGAGACUGGAAUUCCUGGUGUAGCGGUGAAAUGCGCAGAUAUCAAGGAGGAACACCGAUGGCGAAGGCAG
rnacentral:rRNA from 1 species